AAGAAGAAGAAGAGCCUUGCGUGGUGGAGCACGAGACCCAUCUGGUUAGUCUGGGAAACGGGAGGACUAGUAUGUUUUCAGGCGCUUCUUUUCACCAAGAAGCUCUUUUUGGAAGGCCGAGCUGUGAGACAGUGGAGGGGCUCUUUUUUAUGGGGAUUGUAGUGAAUCUAAAUGAUCCCUCGUCAGAUUUUAAAUUGCCAACGAGCAAAACAUUUAUCUUGUUCACGGAUCAUGGCGAGUUGUCGCGGGAGCAGUCCGGUGGACGGCAGGGGUCAUUAAAUCAUGAGGGCUGCCGGGCUGCUGGGCUGCGAUGGAUGCGAGCCCCACCAAACUCGUGCAUCGAUUUGCUGGCGUAGAAGAUAGUGUAAAAAAAUAUAAAGAUAUAUAAAUAAAUUUAUUUUAUUUUAUUAGUUUAAGUUUUUGGGAUAGACUGUAGUUGUAAUAUGGUAUCAGAGUAAAAGUUCCAAGUUUCAAC